CACACUACCAGAAGGUGGGAACCAGUGACUGGCCGAAGAAGAACACGUUUGAGAAGCUGCUGAACAGCACUGAAGACCAGCUUCAAGAACUUCAGGGUUCCAGUCAGUCCUCUUACCAGGAGCUGAUUGGUCGGCUUUACCAGGAAAUGACAGUGGAAUAUGUCCAGAGUCUCCUGAAAGGAGAGGUCAAACUGAAGGACAGCAAUCAGCAGCAGAAGGCUUACGAGACUGUGCAAGAAAAUGGAGAGAAACUGCACGAGCUGUUUGCCAGAAUGCAGAGGGGAAGAAACUGUUCUUCUGCCUGAGGGGAGCAGGUCGAACAAGCUGUGUCCAGGAUGAGAAGGGUCAGCUGUGAUCCGAGUUGCACGCCCCAGUGUCCUGGAGGUGUACAGGUGCUGCAGAGAUGGGAGUCUGCAGCCAAUCACCAUCUCAGCAGAGCACACAACACGCUGCAGUCUGUUUGUCCCUGAUGGUGGCUCCAUCAUACCACACGGUAAUGGAGGAGAUGAGGAUGGACUCAAUGAUUGCAGUGUUGUUGGCAGGUUGAAUUUCUUCAGCUGCCUCAGCAAGUACAUCCUCUGCUGGGCCUUAUGACGGAGGUGAUGGUGGGCUCCCACUUGAGGACCUGGGUGUUGGUGGUACCAAGGAAGCGGAAUGAGGCGAACAACCUUAGUCACAAAUUCAACUAACUACACUAAAAGAACCGUUGACGGGCUGUAUUUAAGUUUUGAAAUUUACCCUCUUACUUUGGUUAUACUUUUAAAAUCAAGUGAAUAAAAAGAAAAAUCAGUAAGAAAUAGAAAAAAGACAUUUCUCAAUAGAUAUUGGAUCUGGAAUGAUGAGAGGACAAGGAGUGGGAGGGGGUCACUAUUAUGAUACAGGGAUUAUAAUAAGCUAAAAUGAAUCCUUUGCCAUUGCAGUACAGGACUGGAGCAAAUUUUCAGCCUGUGUAACUGAAAGAAUUUAAAAUUCACAUUUACUGCCCAGCUAGCUUAAAAUUCCAGUGCAAUUACUCCAGAAGAAAAAACAUCAUUAUUUCCAAAAACAGCAGCUAUGCUGAUUACAGUUUGGGGAAACUUGCAGACUAAACUGACGUCGCUGAUUUGUCUUCACAGGGAUCCAAACAAGACUGGUUAAAGGAAAUCCUGACCAAGAUUGCAGAAGUGCUAAAACUCCAAGAUAUUCCUGCCAUACAGAUGCAAAUCGUUUCACUGGGAUCUGCUUAUCCCGACCUCAGUGAAAAACAUGUUUCGGCUCUGCUCAAACUCAAGACAAACCUCUCCAAAGCCGACAGGAAAAUCGUCAAAACCACUCUGUCAGACACACUGAAAGAGAGCCGUGCUGAUCCUGGAAUCCGGAAGUUUUUCUCCAAAAUUAAAGUGAGAUGAGCCGCACAUUUGCUUCUUAGAGUAUCACUGACUGAGAGUUUGGUUGCAGAGCAGCAAUAUUAUCGUGUAUUAUAUUGUGUUACAGUCUAUCUCUGUAAAGACAUACAGAGUGAAUGCCAGGGAAAAACCUUCAGAUGCUACUUAGACUGAAAUCCCUAUUAUACGCAGACUCGGUGAUGGUGAAUGCUUGCUGUAGUUACUGUAUGUUAUUGUAUACAUAAGCUAGAUUUUACAUUCAUGCUGGCAAUUUUUGUGCAUUUCAUAGAAACUGUGAAUAAGUAUGCAAGAGUCUGUUUUUACACACUUACAAACAGGUCAGUGCCGUUCUAUUAUAUGUCGUUUUGUUUAAAAACUACAAUGAUAUUAAAGUCUAGUUUUUUCAUAAGUUGUAUUUUAUGCUAUAUUGUAUUACAGAGAAUUAUACAUGUCUCAUGUACAUAAAAAGAUGUAAGUUGAGUUUUUUUUAAUAAAUGUGCAAAAACCA
ensembl:lncRNA